rnacentral:rRNA from 1 species
UACGUAGGGUGCGAGCGUUGUCCGGAAUUAUUGGGCGUAAAGAGCUCGUAGGCGGUGUGUCGCGUCGGCCGUGAAAACCUGCAGCUUAACUGUGGGCUUGCGGUCGAUACGGGCAUCACUGGAGUUCGGCAGGGGAGACUGGAAUUCCUGGUGUAGCGGUGAAAUGCGCAGAUAUCAGGAGGAACACCGGUGGCGAAGGCGGGUCUCUGGGCCGUAACUGACGCUGAGGAGCGAAAGCAUGGGGAGCGAACAGG